rnacentral:rRNA from 1 species
GAUGAACGCUGGCGGCGUGCCUAAUACAUGCAAGUCGAGCGAACGGAUGAGAAGCUUGCUUCUCUGAUGUUAGCGGCGGACGGGUGAGUAACACGUGGAUAACCUACCUAUAAGACUGGGAUAACUUCGGGAAACCGGAGCUAAUACCGGAUAAUAUUUUGAACCGCAUGGUUCAAAAGUAAAAGACGGUCUUGCUGUCACUUAUAGAUGGAUCCGCGCUGCAUUAGCUAGUUGGUAAGGUAACGGCUUACCAAGGCAACGAUGCAUAGCCGACCUGAGAGGGUGAUCGGCCACACUGGAACUGAGACACGGUCCAGACUCCUACGGGAGGCAGCAGUAGGGAAUCUUCCGCAAUGGGCGAAAGCCUGACGGAGCAACGCCGCGUGAGUGAUGAAGGUCUUCGGAUCGUAAAACUCUGUUAUUAGGGAAGAACAUAUGUGUAAGUAACUGUGCACAUCUUGACGGUACCUAAUCAGAAAGCCACGGCUAACUACGUG